CAUAUAUUAAUAUUUAUAAUGUUCUGUUUUAUGAUAAUACAUUAUAAAAAUGACUUAGAUUCUUCUGUCUUGUUCUGUAUGAAGGUAUGAAAUAUGGAGUGGGUCAGUAUAUUGAAUGUGUGUCUAAAUAUGCCGUAAGUGUCCCUGGUAGGCCAUCUUUUGAUCACUGGCACUAGUCUGCUACUUAGUCUGGAGUCUAUUGAUCUGGCUUUGCCAUCAGAGGUAGUUGAUUAAGAACAAAAUUAUUGAAUUCUUAAAUGAUAGUUCUAGUAGAAAUAGAAAGCUUUGAACAGUUCAUUUGGGGUCAAAUAACAGAAUAAAUAUUAUCCACUCAUGUGUUCAUUCAACAAACGUGUUUGAGAAUUCACUUUGUAAAAGGCACAGUUGGUGGGCUGCCUUUAUGCGUUGCAUGUAUUUGGUUCAAAAAUCUCAGUGUCUCCUCCGCGUUAAUCUCCUUUGUGUCUUUUUCCUGUAAUGAUGUUAUUUGUAAUGCAAACUUAUUCUAAUACCAUGUAGAUAUAUAUGUUGUGUGAUUUCAAGAAUACUAAGUUGAUAAAAUACUCUAGAAAGCAUACAUUUAAACUUAAGUAUCUAAUCCCUCAAGCAAAUUUACUAGAGUUUCAGAUGAAUAUAUAUUUUUGUAACUGCCAAGUAAAUGAGUAGAACAUAGCUUUUUUGUUUAAAAAUAUUUUUAUAAGUAUGCAUUUACACAGCAUUCAUUAUUUUAAACAUUAAAAUAUCAAGUGGGUUCUAUAAAUAGUGAUUCUUUUGAAUAUAUCCAUAUUUAACAUUGUAUAACACCCAAACUGUAAUGACAAAUGUCAUACGAAUAUGUUAUUAUAGUAGUGUGUUUUUUCCUUUGUAAAAUAUAUGUAACAUAGUUUGAAUCUCUCAGUAUUUUGUGCAUGGUUAAAAUAAUCAAGUGUACUAUGUAUUUUAUAUCAUUUAUUUUUGUCUGCAUAAAAGACUAGAAUAGUAACAUUGUAUCAUGAAUCAAAAAUAAUAAAGUGAGAUGUAAUAUGACCAUUUCAGUUUCUAUCCAUUUAAAUUUAAUCAAUUCCUGUUAUGUUUUCACUUGUUUAAGAGACAAAAAUAUGCAUGAAACAGAACUUUUCAUCCUUUAAGAAUUCACAAGCUCAACAGAAGAAACUUUGAUAAACAUGUGAAACAAAUCUACAAAUAUGAACUAAGGACUUCUCUGACCUUUUAAUAUGCUUAUAAAAAUCACAACUUUGGAAGAAAGAGGUGAUGUGUUUCACAACUUACU
ensembl:lncRNA